CCCUACGGGGGGCAGCAGUAGGGAAUUUUCGUCAAUGGGCGCAAGCCUGAACGAGCAAUGCCGCGUGAACGAGGAAGGUCUUCUGAUCGUAAAGUUCUGUUGAAGGGGAAAAAGAGCGGAGAGAGGAAAUGGUCUCCGAUUGAUAUUACCCUUCGAGGAAGUCACGGCUAACUACGUGCCAGCAGCCGCGGUAAUACGUAGGUGGCGAGCGUUAUCCGGAAUGAUUGGGCGUAAAGGGUGCGUAGGCGGCCUGCUAAGUCUGGAGUGGAAGGUACCGGCCCAACCGGUACAGGCUCUGGAAACUG
rnacentral:rRNA from 1 species